GUAGGGAAUAUUGCGCAAUGGGGGAAACCCUGACGCAGCGACGCCGCGUGAGUGAUGAAGGCCUUCGGGUCGUAAAGCUCUGUUGCAGGGGAAUAAAAAAAUGAAGGUACCCUGUGAGGAAGGAUCGGCUAACUUCGUGCCAGCAGCCGCGGUAAGACGAGGGAUCCUAGCGUUGCUCGGAAUCAUUGGGCGUAAAGAGGGCGUAGGUGGCUUGGUAAGUCAGGUGUGAAAGCCCAGGGCUCAACCCUGGAAGUGCAUUUGAUACUGCUGAGCUUGAGUGUCGGAGAGGUUACCGGAAUACCUGGUGGAGUGGUGAAAUACGUAGAUAUCAGGUGGAACACCGGAGGCGAAGGCGGGUAACUGGACGAACACUGACACUGAGGCCCGAAAGCGUGGGGAUCAAACAGGAUUAGAAACCCCUGUAGUCC
rnacentral:rRNA from 1 species